AUGGGUGGCUUGGGUUUCAAGGAUUUUGAACUGUUCAAUUUGGCCAUGCUAGCGAGGCAAGCAUGACGUAUGUUGCAAGAUCCGGAGUCACUGAGUGCCCGUGUGGUAAGGAGUAUUUAUUAUCCAAACUCAUCAAUUUUGCAGGCUACCCUCGGCAACCACCCUAGCCAAGGUUUGAUCAGGCGAAUUGGCAAUGGAACAACUACUAAUAUAUGGGACAAUAACUGGAUACCUCGGGAUGAGAUGCUGAGAUCUUAUGGGAGUAGGGUUCCAAACCACCCGGUGCUGGUGUCUGAAUUAAUAGAUGCUACCUCGAUCACGUGGAAUUUUCAGAGGUUGCACGAGGUGUUUAUGCCGAUGGAUAUUCCAGCCAUCAUGAGCAUCCCCUUGUGCACAAGGAACUUGGAAGACUAUUGGGGUUGGCAUUUUGAGAGGAGCGGAGUCUUCAUAGUGAAAUCAAUGUAUAGAAUGCUUGUGGCGACCAAAUUGAGAAGGGAGGCGUGGCUGGAGGGAUCGGCCUGAUCCUCAAGUACAAACACUUAAGAGAAACCUUGGAAGAUGCUAUGGAAAACACAAGUACCAGGCAAGAUUCGAAUGUUUUUGUGGAGGUUGUCCAAGCACUCAGUUCCAACAGAAGAUGUUAGAGCUCACCGCCAUAUGACGAAUUCUGAUGCAUGCGGAUUAUGUGGAGGACCAGAUUCUUGGAGGCAUUCUUUGCUGGAGUGUACUGUUGCUCGGUGUACGUGGGCGCUGGUGGAUGAUGACAUCGCUCAGCACCUUAUUGCAACGACGGAACCACAUGCCCGUCACUGGCUCUUUGCACUGAUGGAAGCAUUACCUCACAUGCAAUUCAUCAAGGUUAUUGUUACACUCUUGAUUAUUUGGUCCUCUAGGAGGAAAGCUAUUCAUAAAGGAAUUUUUCAAAGCCCUCAAGCAACACAUAUGUUCAUUGACAGAUAUAUUAGAGAUCUAGAGAUUCUAAAGGAACCGAGAUCGUCGCCGAGUAUAAGCGCUGCAGCGGUGCCCAGGGGCAACAGACGACAGAAGGUGCCACCGGCAGGAUACGCAAAAAUCCAUGUUGACGCCGGGCUAUCAGCAAGGGGAGGCGUCGCAGCUGCAGUUUGUCGAGAUGACCAUGGAAACUAUAUGGGUAGCACGGCACUAGUCGUACGGGGACUCCAAGACCCGGCGACUUUGGAAGCUAUUGCAUGUAGGGAGGGAAUAGCGUUGGCUGAAGACCUGCUUGUUCAAAAUUUUAUCUUGGCAUCUGAUGCUAAGCAGGUGGUGAUGGAUAUCCACAAUUCUAAUCGUGGGUGA
rnacentral:rRNA from 1 species